rnacentral:rRNA from 1 species
GAUUAACGCUGGCGGCGUGCCUAACACAUGCAAGUCGAACGAAGUGGCGGACGGGUGAGUAACGCGUGAGUAACCUGCCUUAGAGAAGGGGAUAGCCUUUGGAAACGAAGAAUAAUACCCUAUGCUCUCAGGUGGACUUGCGUCUGAUUAGUUAGUUGGUGGGGUAACGGCCCACCAAGACGGCGAUCAGUAGCCGGCUUGAGAGGAGGUACCGCCCCAUUGGGACUGAGACACGGCCCAGACGUUACGGGAGGCAGCAGUGGGGAAUUGUGCACAAUGGGGGAAACCCAGAUGCAGCGACGCCGGGAGAUUUAGAAGGCCUUCGGGUUGUAAAAAUCUUUUCUAUGGGAAGCAGUACCAUAGGAAUAAGGACCGGCUAAUUACGUGCCAGCAGCCGCGGUAAUAC